ACUAAGCGUACACGGUGGAUGCCCUGGCAGUCAGAGGCGAUGAAGGACGUGCUAAUCUGCGAUAAGCGUCGGUAAGGUGAUAUGAACCGUUAUAACCGGCGAUUUCCGAAUGGGGAAACCCAGUGUGAUUCGUCACACUAUCAUUAACUGAAUCCAUAGGUUAAUGAGGCGAACCGGGGGAACUGAAACAUCUAAGUACCCCGAGGAAAAGAAAUCAACCGAGAUUCCCCCAGUAGCGGCGAGCGAACGGGGAGGAGCCCAGAGCCUGAAUCAGUGUGUGUGUUAGUGGAAGCGUCUGGAAAGGCGCGCGAUACAGGGUGACAGCCCCGUACACAAAAAUGCACAUGCUGUGAGCUCGAUGAGUAGGGCGGGACACGUGGUAUCCUGUCUGAAUAUGGGGGGACCAUCCUCCAAGGCUAAAUACUCCUGACUGACCGAUAGUGAACCAGUACCGUGAGGGAAAGGCGAAAAGAACCCCGGCGAGGGGAGUGAAAAAGAACCUGAAACCGUGUACGUACAAGCAGUGGGAGCCUCUUUUAUGGGGUGACUGCGUACCUUUUGUAUAAUGGGUCAGCGACUUAUAUUCUGUAGCAAGGUUAACCGAAUAGGGGAGCCGAAGGGAAACCGAGUCUUAACCGGGCGUUAAGUUGCAGGGUAUAGACCCGAAACCCGGUGAUCUAGCCAUGGGCAGGUUGAAGGUUGGGUAACACUAACUGGAGGACCGAACCGACUAAUGUUGAAAAAUUAGCGGAUGACUUGUGGCU
rnacentral:rRNA from 1 species